GUUUGAUCCUGGCUCAGAACGAACGCUGGCGGCAUGCCUAACGAGAAGCCGAACCUUCGGGGUGGUGGAAAGUGGCGCACGGGUGAGUAACACGUGGGAACCUACCCUUUGGUUCGGAAUAACCGCGGGAAACUGCGGCUAAUACCGAAUAAGCCCUCCGGGGGAAAGAUUUAUCGCCGAAGGAUGGGCCCGCGGCGGAUUAGCUUGUUGGUGGGGUAACGGCCUACCAAGGCUACGAUCCGUAGCUGGUCUGAGAGGAUGGUCAGCCACACUGGGACUGAGACACGGCCCAGACUCCUACGGGAGGCAGCAGUGGGGAAUAUUGGACAAUGGGCGCAAGCCUGAUCCAGCCUGCCGCGUGAGUGAAGAAGGCCUUAGGGUUGUAAAGCUCUUUCGCACGCGACGAUGA
rnacentral:rRNA from 1 species